ensembl:misc_RNA
CCUGCUGUUGGAACUCUAAGACGAUUCCUCAGUGGCUCACAGUCCUCAAGCAGCAGGCCGCGGCAAACUGGAAAGGAAAACCGGGUCAUGCCGCAUGUUUUCGGUGAGCACAGGAAUCAACAAAGAGAUGUUAUAUAACUUCUAUUUAUAUCCUCCUUGCUCACUAUCUGCAGGCAGACAAGAGUGGCUGCACAGGGAUUUAAUGAGCUCUAUGGGUUUGCUCACCUUCCUGAGCUGGUACGAACCAGCUUGUUCUCAAAUGCGUCAGUAAAGAAUCCGGCUGUGGGUGGGCGGCCAGGGUAGGUGGACUGAGUUGUUGCCAUGGUAUUUUUUAAUUCCCCUGUCUCUCAA